rnacentral:lncRNA from 1 species
AGUCAAACGGAAGCAGUUUCUCUCAUGGCUCAUAACGGCGUAUGAGUUUUGGAAGCUGUGUUCACUCUUUCAAAGUGUUUUGAUGGAGCUUUUCAGGGACACCUGACCUAACAGUGGUGGGCAUGUCCAGGCAGUCCCGUUGCCUGUGCAGGUGCUGAGAUAGGUUUCACCAAGGAGGAAUUAACGUCGAGAUGAGACGUGGAGAGGGAGCCGCUCUUCGCUUGACUGGCGCGUGGCUCCCCAGGAUUGGGGCUUCAGCGUAUCCUGGCAGAUUGCUGCUACACGUUGCUGGGUUACAAAAGCCCCACAUCAACAAAACUCCUGCUGAGAAAGAAUCACCAGAUUGAAGCAUCUGCUCCAGCUACAGAGCCAAAUAGAAGUUACAAAUUGUUAAAGUCCAGAUGACGUCACACUGGGCUCCCACUACAGUUCCGGCUGAUCCCAGGACCUUGAAGGUCUUCUACAGAGAAACUAAUGUCCAGAGAACAUCAAGACACCAAAGCUUCCCAGGCCCAACUCCUCGGCUUCCUGAUGUCACAGUCUACCUUCCACCAUGGAGAUAAAGAGGCAAGGACACUCAUCUGAGAAAUCCUGUGUCUCCUCCACUGGAAGCAGCCCCAGAUGUGGGCCAAGGGGAAAAUGCUGACCAAGAAGGCCCCUCCACCCCCAAACCCCAAUGAAAACCCCUACCCAUUUCUUAACAAGGAGCAAAGCAAGGGCCGGUGCCCAAAAAGCUGACUUCUGCCUGGCAAAGUAAAGCCUGCCCUUUUUCACCCAAGACUCUGUUCUCGUUAUUUGGAUUGGCAUCGGGAUCAGAGAUCGAACUUUUGGUAACAAUGCUUCUAAAAAGGUUCUUGUAUUUCUUUGAGACCAUUUCUCAGAGUUUCAGAAAAUUGUAUGUAACCCAAGUGACGCAGGCUCUUUCAGUGAAACUACUUAGUGUUAACUCUCCCAUUUCCCAGCUGCAGAACAAGAGUGAGGUCAGAGGCCCACUGCAAGGUCAGGCUCGCAUCCUGAGAUCCAGAGUCAUUCAAGGGGAAUCCAUGAGGAAAAAGCAGAAAAGAGACCCUGGGUUGGCAUGUUCUGUCCUGGAAAUUGCUAUGGCAGUUACUAAAACCCCAAGUAAGCCUUCCUCAAGGAGAAGCAGCAGAGCAAAGGCUUACCGCCACUCGGGUGCCCACUCCUGUCACCGCUGGGGCAGGGACGGGCCACCAGAGCCAAAGCCAGGACAGCCUGCUUGGCCCUGCCCACCACGGCCUAAACUCUGCUGUCCCAGAGUGACUUAGGCAAGUCACUGCCCUCUCUGGACCUUUGCCCUGAGAUGGUGCAUCAGCAGGGAGGGCCAGAAGUUCCACAAGGGAGCUGCUGGGUUUAGCAAUGUGAUGUGGUCUCCCCCACCCUCUACAUUUCAUCGAUUUAUUUUUGAACAGGUCAUGAUAGCAAACACUUUGUGCCGGGCCCUGCUCUAAACCUUUACAUAUAUUAAUUCAUUUAAUCCUUCCAACAACUCUAGAGGGAGAUGCCAUUAUCAUCAUUCCCAUUUACAGAGGAGGAUGUGAGACACAGACAGCUUAAGGUUAAAGAUGAACAGAUAAAGAGAUCAAGGCACUGAGAGAUUGCCUUCUCACACUCACUUAGGUGGCAAGGGGCAGAGCCAGGUUAGAAUGCAGGCAGCCUCCCGCCAGCUUAGUGCCCUCACCCUGCAGUCCUGACAGCUCUGUCCUCCAGACUCCCAGUUCCUCUCAAAUUCUCUCUCUCGAGGCUACUACUAUCAAUAAUUUUUGUGUAUCUUUUCAAAAAAUGUUGUGUGGCAUUUAUACAUUACAUACACACAUGCACAUAUAUAGUAUAUUAUACAUAUAACAUAGACAUAUAUCCUUUCUUUCUUCAGACAAAUAGUAGCUAAUAUACUCUUCCUUUUUGCACCAAAUACAAGGACAUGAUCUUUUUAUGUCAAUUCAUUUAGAGCUGCCCCAUUCUUUUUAGGAACAACAUGGUAUAUCCCAUUGCAUAAACCAUAAUUUUAUAAACCACCGCCUACUGAUCACAUUUAGCUUGUUUCCAUUAUUUUACAAUUACAAAGAACACUGCAGUGAAUAUUCUUGUGGAUACACCAUUUGCACAAGUGAGCCUGUGGCAGGCGGACUGGUCCCCCAGGAUGUCCAUGUUCUAAUUGCUGGAACUUGUGAAUAUGUUACGUUACGUGGCAAAAGGGACUUUGCAGAUGGAAUUACGAUUU